GAAACUAACCAAGGAUUCCCCUAGUAACUGCGAGUGAAGCGGGAAAAGCUCAAAUUUAAAAUCUGGCAGUUCUUACUGUCCGAGUUGUAAUCUAGAGAAGUGCUAUCCGUGCUGGACCGUGUACAAGUCUCCUGGAAUGGAGCGUCAUAGAGGGUGAGAAUCCCGUCUCUGACACGGACUCCCAGUGCAUUGUGAUGCGCUCUCAAAGAGUCGAGUUGUUUGGGAAUGCAGCUCUAAAUGGGUGGUAAAUUCCAUCUAAAGCUAAAUAUUGGCGAGAGACCGAUAGCGAACAAGUACCGUGAGGGAAAGAUGAAAAGAACUUUGGAAAGAGAGUUAAACAGUACGUGAAAUUGUUGAAAGGGAAACGCUUGAAGUCAGUCGCGUUGACUGAGGAUCAACCUUGCUUAUGCUUGGUGUACUUCUCAGCUGACGGGCCAGCAUCAAUUUUGAUCAGUGGAUAAAGGUUGAGGGAAUGUGGCAUCUCUGGAUGUGUUAUAGCCCUUGAUUGUAUACAUUGAUUGGGAUUGAGGAACUCAGCACGCCGCAAGGCCGGGUUUUUAACCACGUUCGUGCUUAGGAUGCUGGCAUAAUGGCUUUAAUCGACCCGUCUUGAAACACGGACCAAGGAGUCUAACAUGCCUGCGAGUAUUUNGGGUGGAAAACCCAUGUGCGUAAUGAAAGUGAAGAUCAGGAUCCCUGUCGUGGGGAGCACUGAUGCCCGGACCAGAGCUUUUGUGACGGAUCUGCGGUAGAGCAUGCAUGUUGGGACCCGAAAGAUGGUGAACUAUGCCUGAAUAGGGUGAAGCCAGAGGAAACUCUGGUGGAGGCUCGUAGCGAUUCUGACGUGCAAAUCGAUCGUCAAAUUUGGGUAUAGGGGGCGAAAGACUAAUCGAACCAUCUAGUAGCUGGUC
rnacentral:rRNA from 1 species